GUGUGUAGGUCUUAUUUUAAGACAGAAGUGCUUAUAACUGUAUGUUACUAAGGCUUUCACUACUGUUGAUGCAUGGGGCAGCCAUGUUGGAUUUUGAGCUCGGCGUAACUGCAACAUUGUCCAACUUCACCAACUCUAAAUAUCUGAAUUCAG